rnacentral:lncRNA from 1 species
GGGAGACCGACUGACUUAUUAUUCAGUACAAUAUUAAAGUGGUUGACAUUCAUUCAAUGGAAGAUUGCAUCUACUUUAACAAUAUAGUUGCAAAAUCACCACAAACUUAUUUCUAUUUUUCUGCUUCCUUAAGCCAUUUUACACAGGGCUCCAAUACUUUCACAAAGCUUUUCCUAUGUAGCAAUGUAAAUAAAAAUAAUUAGGUUAAAGCAUGUCAAAACUUAAACACGAUUACACGCUAAACAUACCCAACGUAUUUAUCCUACCGAUGGAAGAUAUAUGGCACUUCAUGAAUUUUUCUCACUUGGACAACGAAACAAACAAUUAGUAAGCAAAAUUGAUUUCUUCUAUUUUUUAGUUAGCAAGUAGCUAUAAUUUGUCAAAAGAAUUUCCAGCAAAAUUUGCAGAACAAAAAUAAAAAAUCCAGGCAAUAAAAUUCAAUAAGAUGAAGAAAUGAGAUAAAAGACGGGAAGACCUUGAGCGAUGUCUGAUUUUUGAGAAGAAAGUGAAGAGCCCAUAGCAGAAAGUGAGAAGAAAUUCAGUUUUCGACUUGUUUGGUGUCCCUAAUGCUAAAGAAAAUGGUGGUACAAAAUGGGACUUGGAUGAAAAGUUGGAUAGAGAGGUGAAGAAGCUCCUGCCAUGCUAUGUGAGGUCAAAUGGUGGUAUCAUUGCAGCAAGAUACAAUGAUGAAAGGUGAUGAUGUUGGAAUCUUCGUUGUUAAUGGCCAACAUAUCACGACCUUGUGCCUGUAAAAACAAUUGAGAUUGCACCUUCGGCUCGAUGGCUCCAUUCACUAGAAUGGAG